rnacentral:rRNA from 1 species
AAUUGAGAACUGGAAUGAAAGGUUAUAUAAAAAAUAAUCUUUAUUUAUUUUAAAAUAUUUGAAUUUGUUUUUUUAGUAAAAAAACUAAAAUAUAUUAAAAAGACGAUAAGACCCUAUAAAGCUUUAUAAUAUAAAUUUUAAUAAUAAGUUAGAAUAUUAAAUAAAUUUUUUUUUUUUUAUUUAAUUGGGGUGAUUUAAAGAUUUAAAAAACUCUUUAAUAAAUAAAUUUCAUACUUAAAUGUUUUUUGAUCCUUAAUAUUUAAGAGUAAUAAAAUAAGUUACUUUAGGGAUAACAGCGUAAUUUUUUUGAAGAGUUCUAAUCGAUAAAAAAGAUUGCGACCUCGAUGUUGAAUUAAGAUAAAAAUUAGGUGUAGAAGUUUAAUUUUU